rnacentral:lncRNA from 1 species
CUCAGCCUUAAAAAAGAAGGAAAUCCUGAUACUAAUGACAACAUGGAUGAACCAAGAGGAAAUUAUUACACAAAGUGGAAUAAGCCAGACACAGAAGGACAAACACUGCAUAAUCUCACUUAUAUAUGGAAUCUAAGAAUGUUACUUCUAGAAACAGAGAGUAGUGCUGUAGUUUUGGGGGGCUGGGGGUGAUGCAAAUGCGGAGAUGCUGGCCAAAGGCCACAAACUUCCAGUUAUAAGAUGAGUAUGUUCUGGGGAUCCCAUGUAAAGCAUUUUGACUAUAUUUAAUAAUGCUCUAUUGUCUACUUGAAAUUUGCUAAGAGAGUGGAUCUUAAGUGUUCUCACCACACACAGAUACAAGAAAGGUAACUGUAUGAGCUUAUGGAUAUGUUAGUUACCUAGAUCGUGGUAUCAUUUCACAGCAUGUAGGUAUAUUAAAGCAUCACAUUGUACACCUUAAAUAUAUACAAUUUUUAUUGUCAAUGAUAUUCCAUUAAAGCUAGGUGAGGGUAAGAGGGCAUAGGAUAUUUAUCUGAGAAAAAAAGAAAAAAAAGAGAGAGCUCCUAAGUUGAACAAUCAGGUGGGAAGAGCAAAGGCUGGAAGGGCGUAUUUUACUAUCAAAAAGAGUGGAUCAUUACCAAAUGGUUCAUUAUUAUUAUUUUGACCCAGUAAAGUAUUGCAUGCACUCAGUGGACCCUUUGCAAAUCACUCCCCUGAUCAAGAGGUCAGGUGAGGACUUUACAGAAUGGCACCUAGAAAGCCACCACAGGUAAAAAUCUCUCCAAAGAUGUCUGGCACAUUUCUAUCUGUGUUGUUUUUAGAUUCACUUCAACUUUCUGGGUAUGAUUUUUCUCAUGUGAAAAAUGGAGAUACAGAUAAUUGUUUCAACUUCCUGUCUGGAUUUUCAUGAGGAUUGAUUGCCCAUGAGUGGUAUCUGUAUGCAAAGUGAGAGGAAUGAUGUUAAAUGCGCAAAGGGAAGAGCUCCACUUGGCAGGUUUCUCCAGUUUGAGCAUGGUAACGCCAGCAGUGUGUGUGCAUCAACACCACCUCAAAAACACCACCGUCAGUUGUCAUCAUGUUUUGAAAUGAAACAUGUAUAUGCAUUCUUAAUCUGUAUCAAGUAUGAAAACAUGUCAUCCCACCAUUUAUUUUUUCUUUUCAAAUUUUUAUUUAAAUUCUAG